GGAUGGUGCCGGAGCAACUUUGGCCAGUGUUCCCUACCCUAAGUCAGGCGAACAUAAAUGCAUCAGUCCAGAUUGUCUAUUGGCAUUUAACUCACCAUUUAAUCUUCGACGGCAUAAUUAUGUUCAUCAUACAAGUUCUGGCAGCAAAGAAUUGGACAUUUUGCAACACAGAACUGAAUUUAGUAAUUGUUGGGAUAGUCUCUCAUCUGAAGAGUCUGGGGAGAUAUUGUCUUUAAAGGAUAUGAAAUUUAAG